rnacentral:rRNA from 1 species
AGGGUGCGUAACGCGUAUGCAACCUACCUUUACAGGAGGAUAGCCGGAGAAUUCGGAUUAUACUCCAUAAAGUUAUCGAGAGGCAUCUUUUGAUAAUUAAAGUUUUCGGGCGGUAAAAGAUGGGCAUGCGUGGCAUUAGUUAGUUGGUGAGGUAAUAGCUCACCAAGGCGAUGAUGCCUAGGGGUUCUGAGAGGACAAUCCCCCACACUGGUACUGAGACACGGACCAACUCCUACGGAGCACAUGAGAAUAUGGUCAAUGGGCGCAAGCCUGAACCAGCCNAUGCCGCGUGCAGGAUGACUGCCCUAUGGGUUUGGUAAACUGCUUUUAUACGGUGAAGAACCUNNCCCUGCUCCGUGAGCGGUGACUGACGGUACCGUAGGAAUAAGCAUCGGCUAACUCCGUGCCAGCAGCCGCGGUAAUACGGAGGAUGCAAGCGUAUCCGGAUUAUUGGGUUUAAAGGGUGCGCAGGCGGAUUUGUAAGUCAGUGGUGAAAUCCCCCGGCUCAACCGGGGAACUGCCGUUGAUACUGCAGAUCUAGAGUACAGUUGAAGUGGGCGGAAUGUAGCAUGUAGCGGUGAAAUGCAUAGAUAUGCUACAGAACACCGAUUGCGAAGGCAGCUCACUAAGCUGACACUGACGCUCAGGCACGAAAGCGUGGGGAUCAAACAGGAUUAGAUACCCUGGUAGUCCACGCUGUAAACGAUGAUCACUCGUUGUUGGCGAUAUACAGUCAGCGACUGAACGAAAGCAUUAAGUGAUCCACCUGGGAAGUACGAUCGCAAGGUUGAAACUCAAAGGAAUUGACGGGGGCCCGCACAAGCGGUGGAGCAUGUGGUUUAAUUCGAUGAUACGCGAGGAACCUUACCUGGGCUUAAAUGCACGAUGGCGAUCCCCGAAAGGGGAUUUUCCUUCGGGACAUUGUGCAAGGUGCUGCAUGGUUGUCGUCAGCUCGUGCCGUGAGGUGUCGGGUUAAGUCCCAUAACGAGCGCAACCCCUAUUCUUAGUUACCAUCAGGUUAUGCUGGGGACUCUAAGGAAACUGCCUACGCAAGUAGUGAGGAAGGUGGGGAUGACGUCAAAUCAGCACGGCCCUUAUGUCCAGGGCUACGCACGUGCUACAAUGGCCGGUACAGAGGGGAGCUACCUGGUGACAGGAUGCCAAUCUCGAAAGCCGGUCUCAGUUCGGAUUGGAGUCUGCAACUCGACUCCAUGAAGCUGGAAUCGCUAGUAAUCGCACAUCAGCCAUGGCGCGGUGAAUACGUUCCCGGGCAUUGUACACACCGCCCGUCAAGCCAUGGAAGCCGGGGUACCUGAAGUCCG